AAUAUAUUCCAUAUGGUAGACAGUUAUGAUACUAUUGAAGAACUAAUAAAAUCCACACAGUUUUGGAAAAUGUUAAAAAAUCAUAUUCAUAGUUUAGAUUUAACUUUAUUUCAAAAGUAUUUAGUUGAAAAAUAUAAUAAAGUUGUAAGUUCGGAAGUAAAGAAAGAAAAGGUAGAAAAAGGGGUAGAAGAAAAGGUAGAAAAAAAUGUUACAAAUUUAGAUAUAAUAAAAUGUAUAAAAGAUAAAACGUUUAUGAACAAAUAUGAAAAUAAAUGUGAUGGUUAUUUAAAAAAAUUAAAAAAAAAAUAUGAUGAUAAGCUAUUCAUAGAUUUUGAAACAGAAUGUAAAUAUAUAAACGAGCGUUUGAUUAGUGAAAUGUUUAUUGUUGAAGAUGACUCUAGUGGUUCUAAUGCUAUUGGUAAAAGUGACAGUAAACAUACAGACACGAUAAAUACAACUAGUACCACACGUGGAAAUAGUUACAAUUUAAAUAGUACAUACAGUUAUAACCAAAGUGUAAAAAAUACGAAAGAUACAAACUCGUUAAGUGUGAUUAAUAAAAAAUUUGUAUAUAUACCUGAAGUGGAUACGACUCAUACUGGUGCGAUUUCUACCGAUCCUACGACAAUUAACGAAAAUAGUAUAAAAAACACAAAUGAUAUGAACAAUGUUAACAGUAUAAAUAACAUAGACAACAAAUAUAAUUCAACUUACACAAAUAAAAUGUUUAUCCAGGAAAAUAUUAAUGUUUUAAAAUCUUUUCCUCAAGCUAUACAGAAUUUGAAUUUAGAGACUUUUUAUCACGAUCGUUUUUUCUAUUUCCAUUGUUUACAUACAUUUAUCAAAAGUAAAAAUAAAACAGAAGGGUUGGUAAUAACAAAAUUAAUUACCCUUCUUGAUUUAUUGAAGUCUUUUAAUGUGGAAAAUUCAAAUAAGAUAUUACAAAAGUUGAUUAAGCUAGAAAACACAAUUCAUAAUAAUACUAAUAACGCCACAUCUGAUAACAAGAAG
rnacentral:lncRNA from 1 species